rnacentral:miRNA from 1 species
GAGUGUGUGUGUGUGUGUGUGUGUGUGUGCGCGCGCGUGCACAAACACACACACACACACCCCAACUCACG